rnacentral:misc_RNA from 1 species
CCUCACAAAAAUUUAAUUAUAUUUAAUAUUCCUCUGUAAACUCCGAUCUUUACAAGAAUUGACUCAUCAAUUCUACAAUUAACCGUACAACACAAACAAGUAAAACUUUCCUGUCACCGAGUCAACACACCGAUUCAAACCGAUCAAAACUAAAACCCUCGAAAUUAAUGAAGAGGAUAACUCACAAAUCUCCGGCUUUAGACAUGACGGAGAGCCGGCUGGGUCUCGUCUCGAAAGCGGCUCGACGCCGAAGAUGAUGCGAAGAAGGACGAAUCAGAGCCGACAAUGCUCUCUUCACUAGCUCUCCCUCCACACCUCCGAUCCUUACAAGCGAAUUCGUCAUAGCCGAUCGCCUAAAGUUCAAUCUACUACCAGAGUGAUAAGAUGCCGACGCUGACUGUGUGCUGCUGCUUUGAUGAUUAAAGCCAUUAUUUCUCAUCAAUGCCUUAUGGUAGGCGCACCGGAAAGAGCCAGGAUGUGUCGUAGGGGAACACGCGCACGUUCUCUUCUGAUUGGACACUGCAUUGGCAUUGGAGGUGUGCCUUGUCAUAGAAAUGGAACGGUUGGGAGAGAUUGGACGAUGGAUUGAGAAACGUAAGGACGACGAAGACUGAUGAUUGUUCUGACGAUGGUGAUGAUUGUACAUGUUCACACGUGUGGGGGAGGUGGCGCGUGCAAAUAAGGUGUUGGAGGUGGAGGACGAGGAGGACGAGGAGCGAGAUACGAAACUGGAGGCGGUCGAUGAAGCGAAGGACGACGAUGCCGAUAAUGGCAACAUCGAUGGUGGUGGCUUGCGGCACGUGCAAAGAGAAUGACCAUUCGAUUUGUUUCUUGAGGUCGCCAUUUUUGUACCAGUGACGAGCAAGAAAAGAAACAAAAUAUAUUUUUGUUUUUUCGUUUUUUCGUUUUUUUUAAAGGCUGCUUAAGGAAGGCAAAUUCGGCAAACCUGGAGCGAAGCAAGACGUACAUAUAUGGAG